rnacentral:rRNA from 1 species
UACAGAGGGUGCAAGCGUUGUUCGGAAUUAUUGGGCGUAAAGCGCGUGUAGGCGGCUUUGCAAGUCGGGUGUGAAAGCCCACAGCUUAACUGUGGAAGUGCGCUCGAAACUGCAGAGCUUGAGUACCGGAGAGGAUGGCGGAAUUCCGCAAGUAGAGGUGAAAUUCGUAGAUAUGGGGAGGAACACCGGUGGCGAAGGCGGCCAUCUGGACGGAUACUGACGCUGAGACGCGAAAGCGUGGGUAGCAAACAGG